rnacentral:rRNA from 1 species
AUACGUAGGUGACAAGCGUUAUCCGGAUUUACUGGGCGUAAAGGGCGUGUAGGCGGUCUUGCAAGUCAGAAGUGAAAUUCCUGAGCUCAACUCGGGCGCUGCUUCUGAAACUGCAGGACUUGAGUGCUGGAGGGGAUAGCGGAAUUCCUAGUGGAGCGGUGAAAUGCGUAGAUAUUAGGAGGAACACCAGUGGCGAAGGCGGCCUGCUGGACGACAACUGACGCUGAGGCGCGAAAGCGUGGGGAGCAAACAGGAUUAGAUACCCUGGUAGUCCACGCUGUAAACGAUGAAUACUAGGUGUGGGGGGACUGACCCCCUCCGUGCCGCAGUUAACACAAUAAGUAUUCCACCUGGGGAGUACGAUCGCAAGAUUGAAACUCAAAUGAAUUGACGGGG